rnacentral:rRNA from 1 species
GUGUCAGCCGCCGCGGUAAUACGAAGGGGGCAAGCGUUGUUCGGAAUUACUGGGCGUAAAGGGCGCGUAGGCGGCUUACCAAGUCAGGCGUGAAAUUCCCGGGCUCAACCUGGGGGCUGCGCUUGAUACUGGUAGGCUUGAAUACGGGAGAGGAUAGUGGAAUUCCCAGUGUAGAGGUGAAAUUCGUAGAUAUUGGGAAGAACACCGGUGGCGAAGGCGGCUAUCUGGCCCGUUAUUGACGCUGAGGCGCGAAAGCGUGGGGAGCAAACAGGAUUAGAUACCCUCGUAGUCC